rnacentral:rRNA from 1 species
UUGAUGGUGAUUAUGAUAACAUAAGGGAAAAAAAUGAUAUUACCUUAUUAUUAGUGUUGUCCAAAACUGGUGCCAGAAGACUCGGUAAGACCAGAGACGCAAACGUUAGUCAUCUUAAUCAGGCGUAAAGGGUUUGUAGGCUGCUUUAAAAGUUUAAAAUAUUUAAAGAGCUCUUUUACCGUAAUACUACCUUUAUUUAUAAAUAUAAAAAUAUAAAAUACAAAUGGUAGUAUAUAAAAUUUAUUAUAUAAUAAAAUAAAAAUAAAUGAUAUUAACCAAAUAUCCGUGUAUCAGUAAAGAAAUAAAUUAAUUAAAGCUAGGAUCAAAUUGAGGAUAAACCAAAUAAUACUUAGAGUAGGGCUUAUAUCCGCAGAUACUAAGGGGAAUACUAAAGGUGAAAACUUUUUAUCUACUAUUGAUUGACGCUGAGAAACGAAGGUGAGAACAGGAAAUAGGAUUAGAUACCCAGAUACCUCUCACUGUCAACGAUGAAUGGUGGUUUGUUAGUUUUAAUAAAAACUGGUAACGAUGUUAACACGAUAACCAUUCCGCCUUGCGAGUACGGUUGCAAAACUGAAACCAAAAAAAUUAGUCGGUCUCGAAGCAAACGAAGUGAAGCAUGUUA